rnacentral:rRNA from 1 species
UACGGAGGGGGCGAGCGUUAUUCGGAAUUAUUGGGCGUAAAGGGCGCGUAGGCGGCCCGGUAAGUCAAAGGUGAAAUCCCUCGGCUCAACUGAGGAACUGCCUUUGAAACUGUCGGGCUUGAGGCCGGGAGGGGGUGACGGAAUUCCCAGUGUAGCGGUGAAAUGCGUAGAUAUUGGGAGGAGCACCAGUGGCGAAGGCGGCCACCUGGACCGGUUCUGACGCUGAUGCGCGAAAGCGUGGGGAGCAAACAGG